rnacentral:rRNA from 1 species
AUUGAACGCUGGCGGCAGGCUUAACACAUGCAAGUCGAGCGGAGUGAUGGUGCUUGCACUAUCACUUAGCGGCGGACGGGUGAGUAAUGCUUAGGAAUCUGCCUAUUAGUGGGGGACAACAUCUCGAAAGGGAUGCUAAUACCGCAUACGUCCUACGGGAGAAAGCAGGGGAUCACUUGUGACCUUGCGCUACUAGAUGAGACUAAGUCGGAUUAGCUAGUUGGUGGGGUAAAGGCCUACCAAGGCGACGAUCUGUAGCGGGUCUGAGAGGAUGAUCCGCCACACUGGGCCUGAGACACGGCCCAGACUCCUACGGGAGGCAGCAGUGGGGAAUAUUGGACAAUGGGGGGAACCCUGAUCCAGCCAUGCCGCGUGUGUGAAGAAGGCCUUAUGGUUGUAAAGCACUUUAAGCGAGGAGGAGGCUCUUUUGGUUAAUACCCAGGAUGAGUGGACGUUACUCGCAGAAUAAGCACCGGCUAACUCUGUGCCAGCAGCCGCCGUAAAAC